UACGGAGGAUGCAAGCGUUAUCCGGAAUUAUUGGGCGUAAAGCGUCCGCAGGCGGCUAGAUAAGUCUGCUUUCAAAGAGUGGGGCUCAACCCCAUAGGGGGAGUGGAAACUGUUUAGCUAGAGUAUGGUAGGGGCAGAGGGAAUUCCCAGUGUAGCGGUGAAAUGCGUAGAUAUUGGGAAGAACACCAGUGGCGAAGGCGCUCUGCUGGACCGAGACUGACGCUGAGGGACGAAAGCUAGGGGAGCGAAAGGGAUUAGAUACCCCUGUAGUCCUAGCUGUAAACGAUGGACACUAGGUGUUGCGCGUAUCGACCCGUGCAGUGCCGUAGCUAACGCGUUAAGUGUCCCGCCUGGGGAGUACGCACGCAAGUGUGAAACUCAAAGGAAUUGACGGGGGCCCGCACAAGCGGUGGAGUAUGUGGUUUAAUUCGAUGCAACGCGAAGAACCUUACCAGGGUUUGACAUCCCUCGAAUCUCUAUGAAAGUGGAGAGUGCCUUCGGGAGCGAGGAGACAGGUGGUGCAUGGCUGUCGUCAGCUCGUGUCGUGAGAUGUUGGGUUAAGUCCCGCAACGAGCGCAACCCACGUUUUCAGUUGCCAGCAUUAAGUUGGGGACUCUGGAGAGACUGCCGGUGACAAACCGGAGGAAGGUGUGGACGACGUCAAGUCAUCAUGCCCCUUACAUCCUGGGCUACACACGUAUUACAAUGGUUAGGACAAAGGGCAGUGAAGCCGCGAGGUGGAGCAAAACUCACAAACCUAGCCUCAGUUCAGAUUGCAGGCUGCAACUCGCCUGCAUGAAGGAGGAAUCGCUAGUAAUCGCAGGUCAGCAUACUGCGGUGAAU
rnacentral:rRNA from 1 species